GAUGAACGCUGGCGGCGUGCCUAACACAUGCAAGUCGAGCGAUUCUCUUCGGAGAAGAGCGGCGGACGGGUGAGUAACGCGUGGGUAACCUGCCCUGUACACACGGAUAACAUACCGAAAGGUAUGCUAAUACGAGAUAAUAUGCUUUUAUCGCAUGGUAGAAGUAUCAAAGCUCCGGCGGUACAGGAUGGACCCGAGUCUGAUUAGCUAGUUGGUAAGGUAACGGCUUACCAAGGCGACGAUCAGUAGCCGACCUGAGAGGGUGAUCGGCCACAUUGGAACUGAGACACGGUCCAAACUCCUACGGGAGGCAGCAGUGGGGAAUAUUGCACAAUGGGCGAAAGCCUGAUGCAGCAACGCCGCGUGAGCGAUGAAGGCCUUCGGGUCGUAAAGCUCUGUCCUCAAGGAAGAUAAUGACGGUACUUGAGGAGGAAGCCCCGGCCAACUACGUGCCAGCCGCCGCAGUAA
rnacentral:rRNA from 1 species